rnacentral:rRNA from 1 species
UACAGAGGUCCCGAGCGUUGUUCGGAUUCACUGGGCGUAAAGGGUGCGUAGGUGGUGAGGUAAGUCGGAUGUGAAAUCUCCGGGCUCAACCCGGAAACUGCAUUGGAAACUACCUUGCUUGAGGAUUUGAGGGGGGAUUGGAAUACUUGGUGUAGCAGUGAAAUGCGCAGAUAUCAGGAGGAACACCGGUGGCGAAGGCGGAUCUCUGGGCCGAUACUGACGCUGAGGAGCGAAAGCGUGGGGAGCGAACAGG